CUCUUUCUAUCUAUCUUUCAAGCUACGCUACAACUUCUGAAUUUUCUGUGUCCUUGGAAAGACCGUUGCAAAGUCUUCUCUCCACUCACGUCCUCAUUUCCAUUUUCUCUCUACUUCUUUCUCAGGAAACAAGCAGAGCAAGAGUCAACCCAACCCAACCCAUUAUACCUUAAACCCAAAAUCUUUUAUUUUGUGUGAUUCUUCGUCAUGAUGACCAUUUGCAUGGCUUUUUUCAGAAACCUGGUGUCUUUGUUUCUGGCAUCAACACUUGUGAUGAGCAGUGUGUUUGGUCGUUUUGUUGUGGAGAAGAGUAGCAUAAGUGUAUUGUCUCCAUUGAAUUUGAGUUCAAAACAGGACAGUGCAAUAGGCAACUUCGGUUUACCAGAUUAUGGUGGGUUGAUGGUGGGUUCUGCCGUGUAUUCUGAUAAAGAACCUUUGGGGUGUCAGCCCUUUGAUGGUGAUAAGCCUUUCAGGUCUAUGUCUUGUCAUCCCACCAUUCUUCUUCUUGAUCGCGGAGAAUGCCAUUUUGCUUUGAAAGUAUGGAAUGCCCAGCAAGCUGGAGCUGCAGCAGUGGUAGUUGUUGAUAAUAUAGAUGAGCCACUAAUAACUAUGGACUCCCCUGAGGCAAGUGGUAAUUCACAAGGGUAUGUAGAGAAGAUCCAAAUCCCAUCAGCAUUGAUAGAGAGAUCUUUUGGUGAGAGCUUGAAGCAAGCCUUGAAGAAUGGAGAAGAUGUCGUGAUCAAACUGGACUGGCGAGAGUCGGUGCCCCAUCCUGACCAGAGAGUUGAGUAUGAGCUUUGGACAAACAGCAAUGAUGAAUGUGGGACUCGAUGCGAUGAACAGAUGCAAUUCGUGAAGAGUUUCAAAGGUCAUGCUCAGAUCCUUGAGAAAGGAGGUUACACAUUGUUUACACCGCACUAUAUUACGUGGUAUUGCCCACAGGCUUUUAUUCUUAGCAGUCAGUGCAAAUCUCAGUGCAUAAACCAUGGGAGAUACUGUGCACCUGAUCCAGAACAGGAUUUUGGGGAGGGAUAUCAGGGUAAAGAUGUGGUGUAUGAGAACUUGAGGCAGCUUUGUGUCCAUAGAGUUGCCAAUGAGAGCAGCCAAUCUUGGGUAUGGUGGGAUUAUGUGACAGAUUUCCAUAUUAGGUGUUCCAUGAAGAACAAGAGAUAUAGCAAAGAAUGUGCUGAGGAAGUUCUGAAAUCACUUGAUCUGCCUAUUGAUAAGAUUAAAAAGUGCAUGGGUGAUCCUGAAGCUGAUGUGGAGAAUGAAGUGCUGAAAACUGAGCAAGAACUCCAGGUUGGGCGAGGAUCUCGUGGUGAUGUUACCAUCUUACCAACUUUAGUUAUUAACAAUGUUCAGUAUCGAGGAAAACUGGAGAGAACUGCUGUUCUGAAGGCCAUAUGUUCUGGAUUUAAGGAGACCACUGAUCCCCCAAUCUGCUUAAAUUCAGAUCUUGAGACAAAUGAGUGUCUGGAAAGGAAUGGGGGCUGUUGGCAGGACAAUAUAUCUAAUGUAACUGCAUGCAAGGAUACAUUUAGGGGAAGAAUAUGCGAGUGCCCAGUUGUGAAAGGUGUACAGUACAAAGGAGAUGGCUAUGCAUCUUGUGAAGCUUUUGGACCUGCAAGGUGUACCAUAAAUAAUGGAGGAUGCUGGUCGGAAUCAAAAAAUGGGCUAACUUUCUCGGCCUGCUCAGAGUCCCAGUUAUCAGGCUGUCAGUGCCCAGAAGGCUUUCGCGGGGAUGGUCAUGAUAAGUGUGAAGAUAUCAAUGAAUGCAAGGAACGUACUGCUUGUCAAUGUGGUGGUUGCUCCUGUAAGAAUACUUGGGGUUCAUAUGAGUGCAAGUGCAAGGGAGACCUGCUUUAUAUUAAGGAACAAGAUGCCUGCAUUGAAAGAAACGGAUCUAAAUUUGGAUGGUUCCUCACCUUUGUGGUCGUAGCUGUUGUUGGAGGAGCUGGUGUUGCUGGUUAUAUAUUUUACAAAUACAGGCUCCGGUCUUACAUGGACUCAGAGAUCAUGGCUAUCAUGUCACAGUACAUGCCACUUGACAACCAACAUAACAAUGAAGUUCCAGCUGAAGUGCAACCUCUGCGACAGGGCACAUCUGUAUAAGCUAAAGCAAUCGGUUGUACAAAGAAUGUUCCUGUUAGAGGAUUAAAUCCAUUAUGCUGUAAAUUUUAGAUCCAAUGGCAGCUCUUACAUCAGGCAGGGAGAGGUCCACUUGUUGAUCGACAUAACAUUAUCAGGGCAUUACGAGUUUCCGAUAUAGAAAAAUACUACACAGAAUAUAUAUUUUUUUUGGCUGUAAGUAAAUAGUUGAGGUGUAAAUUUAUCUUCAAGGAUUAAUAAGGACAUACAUGGAUGAAAGGUAAGAGAAUAAACAAAAGGAGGAUAUGUGUAAAUUUAUCUUCAAGGAUUAAUAAGGACAUACAUGGAUGAAAGGUAAGAGAAUAAACAAAAGGAGGAUAU
rnacentral:misc_RNA from 1 species